rnacentral:rRNA from 1 species
GACGAACGCUGGCGGCGUGCUUAACACAUGCAAGUCGAGCGGUAAGGCCCUUUCGGGGGUACGACGAGCGGCGAACGGGUGAGUAACACGUGGGUGACCUGCCCUCAGCUCUGGGAUAAGCCUGGGAAACCGGGUCUAAUACUGGAUAUGACUCCAUGACGCAUGUUGUGGGGUGGAAAGCCUUGUGCGGCUGAGGAUGGGCCCGCGGCCUAUCAGCUUGUUGGUGGGGUGACGGCCUACCAAGGCGACGACGGGUAGCCGCCUGAGAGGGCGGCCGGCCACACGUGGGACUGAGACA